GCNGCUACACAUGCAGUCGAGCGGAUGAAGGGAGCUUGCUGCCUGGAUUCAGCGGCGGACGGGUGAGUAAUGCCUAGGAAUCUGCCUGGUAGUGGGGGAUAACGUCCGGAAACGGGCGCUAAUACCGCAUACGUCCUGAGGGAGAAAGUGGGGGAUCUUCGGACCUCACGCUAUCAGAUGAGCCUAGGUCGGAUUAGCUAGUUGGUGGGGUAAAGGCCUACCAAGGCGACGAUCCGUAACUGGUCUGAGAGGAUGAUCAGUCACACUGGAACUGAGACACGGUCCAGACUCCUACGGGAGGCAGCAGUGGGGAAUAUUGGACAAUGGGCGAAAGCCUGAUCCAGCCAUGCCGCGUGUGUGAAGAAGGUCUUCGGAUUGUAAAGCACUUUAAGUUGGGAGGAAGGGCAGUAAGUUAAUACCUUGCUGUUUUGACGUUACCAACAGAAUAAGCACCGGCUAACUUCGUGCCAGCAGCCGCGGUAAUACGAAGGGUGCAAGCGUUAAUCGGAAUUACUGGGCGUAAAGCGCGCGUAGGUGGUUCAGCAAGUUGGAUGUGAAAUCCCCGGGCUCAACCUGGGAACUGCAUCCAAAACUACUGAGCUAGAGUACGGUAGAGGGUGGUGGAAUUUCCUGUGUAGCGGUGAAAUGCGUAGAUAUAGGAAGGAACACCAGUGGCGAAGGCGACCACCUGGACUGAUACUGACACUGAGGUGCGAAAGCGUGGGGAGCAAACAGGAUUAGAUACCCUGGUACUCCACGCCAUAAACGAUGUCGACUAGCCGCUGGGAUCCUUGAGAUCUUAGUGGGGCAGCUAACGCGAUAAGUCGACCGCCUGGGGAGUAGGGCGCCAAGGUUAAAACUCAAA
rnacentral:rRNA from 1 species